AUGGCAGCCGCCAGCGACAAACGUCGGAAGGAUGUAGCCGAACUCGAGCACGGACUCGAGCACAACGGCGACAUACACCUCCUCCCAACGUCAACCACACGCUCAUACGCGCGCCCGCGGUCCCUACGCGCCCGACGCGUCCAGUGCGCACCCAUAACACGCACCGGUUGCGCCCGGCUCGCCGCCACGACUUAUUGCCCUGCACCGUUGCGGCCUCAACCGCAGAGCAACACCUCCGUGCCGCCACGCCGCGCCACCAUGCAGCGCCUCAGCGGCCUCCGCGGUCGCCGCACGUACGACAUCACCGCCCGCCGUCCCGCCACGCGCCAUGGCAGCCACAGCGCCGCCCACCUCCAUAGGCCGACACACGGCCCAGAGCUCCAUCGCGCAGCCGCCGGCGAGCGCCGCCAUCGCUGCCACGCCUCCAGCACGGAGAACGACGCCCAAGAUGAACCAGCUCUGAUACCAAUUGUUGGAACCGCAUCACUCUAG
rnacentral:rRNA from 1 species